AUCUCAUCUUCAAAAUUCUGCAGCCUCCUCUCUUUGGAUAUACAGAAAACUCAAAAACAGACUUGAAAUGGUCAAGAAUUGAAUUGCACAAAACUUUUCAUCAUGCUCUUGAAGCCAUUGGGACAGCUGCCAUUAAGGUAGCACAGACAGGCAAGAGCGUGGAGCCAUCGUACAUUGGCCUCAAGCUGGGGAUGCAGACGCAUGGACUUCGGUCUGGUGUUUGAGGCAGGGCAGRCUUCCACGACUGCGCUUCCCUCGUGCACUGCUUGUUUUUGGUAAGCACCCCUACACCAAGAAGCUUUAGCAUCUCCUAGAGAAGAGCCGGC
rnacentral:lncRNA from 1 species